rnacentral:lncRNA from 1 species
CACUGGUGUGGAGUGGGCCUGUGGGUGAGGGACAGAUUCCAGCCCAUGGUGGUUUCAGUGUGUGAUGAGUGAGAUCAUUCAGUAGAGGGCGCUGGGAGAACUGAUGACUCGCACCGAUCAGGAAUAUUGCAUGCAAUUUAGAUCCAAGCGUAAAACACUAGACUACUAAAGUACUGGAAGCAAGCGUGAAGACCAUUUUUAUCACUGUAGCAGGACAAAGUCGUUUCAACAAGACAUAAAAUCCACUGGCCAUAAGGAAAGGAUUCACAUUCAACAAUAUGAUAAACUAGGUGAAACUUUUUGAAAUUUGAUUGUGAUGAGGUGGUGAUUUGAUUUCACAGGUAUAUACAAAUGUUUAAUCAAACUUUACACUUUAUGUGCAGAUGUUGUAUAUCAAUUAUAGCUCAAUGAAGCUUCUUUUUUUUUAAGAAGCCUGAGGGGAAAAUGCCAUAAAGUAAGUUAACAAAACAACAACAACAAAAAACAGAUGACAAGCUAGGAGAAACCAUUUGCACAACAAAAAUAACAAAGCAUAUUCAAAAGAGGCUGUGGUAAGUCAACAGCAACAUGGGCACAGCCUUGAACAAUGAAAAAGGAAUACAGUUGAGUCAUAAGCAUGAAAAGAUGUUCAGCUGCCCCAGGAAUUAAAGAAGUGCAGACUGAAACAUCAAGUAACAUUUUUCACCCAUCAGGUAGGCAAAAAUUAAAACCAUUGAUUUAACCCUGUAGAGGUGAUGGGGCAGUUGUGGCAGUGGUGGGGCGCAGUCUGUAGGAGUGGGUGACAAAGGCACAUCAAAGACAAAGCUAGGGGACACAGGGUCUGUGGUGGCCAUGAGGAGUUGAUACAGUGUUGAUGUGGAUAAUAUAUCUUCUUGAUGCAAAAUAACAAAAAUAAGGCCCACCAUUGAUUCCCCAACAGCCUCUUGAUAGGUGGGUUCUCUGACCUAUUCCAGGCAACACUGUUUCUAUGCACCCAUCAGCCCAUCUAGUGCUUUGAUUGCCCCUUCUGAGCUCCCACAGCCAGAGCAGAGGCAGCAAGCGUGCCUGCCCCUAAUUGUGGGUGACUGCUGGGCCUAGACACUUCUAGCUGCAUCACAGGGCCUACAGGUAAGGGGAGACACUAAUUACAGCCCUACCAGCAGGGAGGGAGCCUGGACCCUGGUGGAAAUUGGAAGCUGCAGGUGCCAGGAGCCCUCCGUUCUCAAGUGUAUCGGUUAGGCAAUGCUACGUAACAAACCACCACAACACUCAAAUGACUGAAACACAAUAAGCACUUUUAUUGCUCCUAAAGUCUUCGACUUGGCCGCAGUGCUGGGCUCAGCUGGCCUCGCUCAUAUGUCUUUAUAGCUACUCUUCUCAAGUGGUGGACUCAGUUUCCCCACCUCUGAAUCUGGGUGAGCCCUGGGACUCCCUUUGGCCAGUAGAAGGUAGCCGAAGUGGCUGCGUGCGGAUCAGCUGGAGCUGGCUGGUCUAGGAUGGCCUGGUUUGGGACCCCUGAACUCUCCUUCUCAUGGUCUCUGCUUGUCCAGCAGGCUGGCCUGGGCUUUCUCCCGGGCAGAGGCGGAGGUCCGAAGCAAAGGAGCAGCACGCAGGUUCUCUUCAGGUGGAGGAAAGCAGAGGCGUCAGCUCAGACUAUGCCUUUUUCACAUAAAAAAUGAUUUUCAGCUGAAGGCAAUUAAGAAGCAGAAAGUGCAGGAAAAGUUCAGGUUUCCCUCCCCUUUUCUGCCUAAAGGCACGAUAUAAACUCUCCAUCACUGGACACAACCCUUGACUCAGAGGUGGUACCAGAGGCUGCUGCAGACAAAUCCUGUUGCAUCAGCUUCCUCUCGGAUAUUUACCAUCCCAUAGUUUACCACCUUUGGAAGCCUAAAACUGUUGUCCUUGGUCAUCCUAUCUCUACAAAUUUAUUGUAUUUUUUAAAAAUGCUGUGUAAGACAGUGUUCCAAGCCAUCACUUUGUUACUUUUCAUUGAGGCUUAUCCUGAGUGAUGUUGGCUGCCUGUGUUAACAAACUGUUUUUCGCCAGGUACAGUGGCUCAUGCCUGUAAUCCUAGCACAUUGGGAGGCCAAGGCAGGUGGAUCACCUGAGGUCAGGAGUUCCAGCCCAGCCUGAUCGACAUGGUGAAACCCCAUCUCUACUAAAAAUACAAAAAAAAUUAGCCGGGCGUGGUGGUGUACAUCUGUAAUCCCAGCUACUCGGGAGGCUGAGGCAGGAGAAUCGCUUGAAACUGGGAGGCGGAGGUUGCAGUGAGCCAAGAUGGCGCCACUGCACUCCAGCCUGGGGGACAAGAGCAAGACUCUGCCUCAAAAAAACAGAAACAAAAACAUUGUUUUUCUUUGUGAAUCUGUCUUUUCAUUAAAAAGUCUCUCUUAAUCUGUUUUGUUUUGCUAUAACAAUACCACAGAUGGGGUCAUUUAUUUAGAGAUAGGUGUCUUGCUCUGUCACUCAGGCUGGAGUGCACUGGCAUGAUCAUGGUUCAAUGUAGCCUCAACCUCCCAGGGUCAAGCAGUCCUCCCAACUCAGCCUCCCAAGUAGCUAGGACUACAGGUGCACGACACCAUGCCCUGCUAAUUUUUUUUUAACUUUGUAGAGAUGGGGUCUCACUAUGUUGCCCAGGCUGGUCUUGAGUGCCUGGUCUCAAGUGAUCCUCCUGCCUCAGCCUUGCAAAGUAUUGGGAUUACAGGCGUGAGCCACUGAACCCAGCAAGGGUCAUAUAUAAUAAAUAGAAGUGUAUUGGCUUACAGUUCUGGAGGCUGGGAAGCCCAAGAUCAAGGAGCCAGCAUCUAGCGAGAGCCUUCUUGCUGUGUCCUAGCAUGAUGGAAGGCAUCAUAUGGCAGAAGGGCAAAGUGAGGGCGAGAGAAAGACAAAGAAUGAACUCCUUCAUUUAAAAGGCACCACUCUCAGGAUAACCAACUCACUCCUGAAAUAAUGGUGGUUUUUUUUAAGACAGACUCUCGCUUUGUUGCCCAGGCUGGAGUACAGUGGUGCGAUCUCAGCUCACUGCAAUCUCUGCCUCCUGGGUUCAAGCGAUUCUCCUGUCUCAGCCUCCCAAGUAGCUGGCCUUACAGGCAUGUGCCACCACACCUGGCUAAUUUUUGUAUUUUAACUAGAAAUGGUGUUUUACCUUGUUGGCCAGGCUGGUCUCAAACUCCUGACCUCAAGUAAUCCGCACACCUCAACCUCCCAAAAUGCUGGGAUUACAGACAUGAGCUACCAUGCCUGCGCCCAGAAAUAAUGUUCUCUACCCAUUCACAAGGGCAUAACCCGCACGGCGUAAUUUACUUUCCAUCAAGCCUCACCUCACAACACUGGGGAUCAAGGUUCCAACUUUGGGAGACACAAUCAAAUCACAGCAGAGCCCCAGCUGAAAACCUAAGACAGGUGGAGGUAAAGUUUUGCUUCCAAGGCCUAUGCUUCAAACUGGCUCACAGGAAGUUGCACUACACUUGUCUACAGGACAAAGCAAGUCACAGGACCAGCCUGGAUUCAGAGGUGGAGAAACAGACUCUACUUCUUGAUGGCAGGAGCCAUGGUCACACAGCACAGAGUGUCAACACAGCAAACCACUAACAGUGGUCAAUGCAGUCACCCCCACAGCAACCCAGAGCUCUGUGCCCUGUCACAGCAUUGGGCAGUCCCCAGUGAUUAAACCUUCCUGUUGGGACUGCACUCUCACAGAGAUAUAAGACAUACGUGAUCAGCACAAGUAUGUACCUACCCAGCCCUGGCUUUACUGUGCCUAGUCAGCCAGGCCACUUUCUUUGUCCUGAAAGCUGACCUGGGUUCACUGUGAGGCUUGACUGUACUGCCCAUGCGCAGAGAGCAAAUUCAGGAGCCAGUCAAGCAUGUCCUGACACCUUGGGAGUCAGGGGAGAAUGGAUGGGUCAUACAACAAAGGACUUGGAUACCAAGAGGCCAUUAAUUGCAGCCAUCAAUAAAAUUUGUGACCUAAACAGGGGCAAAUGAAGCUUGUUGGGCAUGCUGGCUGGGCAUGAGAUGGAGUCUUGCUCUGUCAUCCAGGCUGGAGUGCAGUGGCAUUAUCUCGGCUCACUGCACUGUCCGCCUCCUGGAUUCAAGGGAUUCUCCUGCCUCAGCCUCCUGAGUAGCUGGAAUUACAGGUGUGCACCACCACACCCGGCUAAUUUUUUUUAUUUUUAGUAGAGAUGGGGUUUCACCAUGUUGGCCAGGCUGGUCUCAAACUCCUGACCUCAAGUGAUCCACCUGCCUCAGCCUUCCAAAAUGCUGGGAUUACAGGCAUGAGCCACCACGCCUGGCUUGUGGUUGAAAUCUUAACCCACAAUAUGAUGGUGUUGGGAUGUGGAGCCUUUGGGAGGUGAUUAGAUAAUGAAGGUGGAGACCUCAAGAAUGGGAUUAGUGACAUUCUUUAAAAGGCCCUGGAGACUGGGUACAGUGGCUCAUGCCUGUAAUCUCAGCACUUUGGGAGGCUGAGGCUGGGGGUGUCCUGGGGCUACCACAGGGAAGGACCCGGCGCAGAGCUCCCUCUGGAACCCGGCACUGCGGCCCGCGCCCUCUACUCCCCGCGCGCCGGCCGGCAACCCUCGGCGCUGCCCGGUGCAGCCCGCCCGAGCGCACACAAUGAGGCGCUUUCAGACGUGGCUGCGGUCCCGAGGUGGCCAGCGGGAGCUAGCGCCGUGGGGGAAGGAAGGAGCCGGUUGGCCCACCCCCGACCGAGGGGCCACGCCUCGGGGGAGGGGCGCCGGCCGAGGGCGGGGCAGGAGGGCCCAGGUGGGCUGGGGCUCUGAGAGGCUCAACUUUUAGCCCAGAAUGUCAAAGGGCGCUGGCAGAGUCACCUCUCAUCUGACUACAGAGGAACGUUGUACCCCACCCCACCCCAAAUCCCCAGAGAAGGGGGGCUCCUGGGAGGACAAAGGCCCUAGUGAAGGAAGUCGAAUCUUAAUCUUGACCCUCC